CGCACUGCAUCGAGCCUUAACCAGGAACGAUACGCCCCAUUGAGCGUCAUUACGUCUUCGUGACUUGUGGCUUUUCUCCGAAAGCGACCUGUCCGGGUUCGGGAUUCACGGCUUAGGUCGCGCUUCCUCAGAUCCAUGUGUGCACCAGAGGUCACGGUGACCUUGUCAUGAAUGUCGAGGUGUGCCUUCAGGCCUUGCGUGCGAGAUCCUUUGCCUCUGCAUCGGAUCAGCCUGCCCGGUGAUGCGGUGCAACUUCUCUACAUGACCUCACGGGGGUGGGACGACCCGCUAGACUUAAGCAUAUUAAUCAGCGGAGGAAAAGAAACUAACAAGGAUUCCCCCAGUAACUGCGAGUGAAGAGGGAUGAGC
rnacentral:misc_RNA from 1 species